GAUCAUGGCUCAGAUUGAACGCUGGCGGCAGGCCUAACACAUGCAAGUCGAGCGGCAGCACAAGGGAGUUUACUCCUGAGGUGGCGAGCGGCGGACGGGUGAGUAAUGCCUAGGGAUCUGCCCAGUCGAGGGGGAUAACAGUUGGAAACGACUGCUAAUACCGCAUACGCCUACGGGGAAAGGAGGGACCUUCUGGCUUCCGCGAUUGGAUGAACCUAGGUGGGAUUAGCUAGUUGGUGAGG
rnacentral:rRNA from 1 species